rnacentral:rRNA from 1 species
CGGUAAGGCCCUUCGGGGUACACGAGUGGCGAACGGGUGAGUAACACGUGGGUGAUCUGCCCUGCACUUCGGGAUAAGCCCGGGAAACUGGGUCUAAUACCGGAUAGGACUGCGCGGUGCAUGCCGUGUGGUGGAAAGAUUUAUCGGUGCAGGAUGGGCCCGCGGCCUAUCAGCUUGUUGGUGGGGUAAUGGCCUACCAAGGCGACGACGGGUAGCCGGCCUGAGAGGGCGACCGGCCACACUGGGACUGAGACACGGCCCAGACUCCUACGGGAGGCAGCAGUGGGGAAUAUUGCACAAUGGGCGCAAGCCUGAUGCAGCGACGCCGCGUGAGGGAUGACGGCCUUCGGGUUGUAAACCUCUUUCAGCAGGGACGAAGCGUGAGUGACGGUACCUGCAGAAGAAGCACCGGCCAACUACUUGCCAGCCGCCGCGGG